GGGCGGAUGUAGCCAAGUGGAUCAAG
rnacentral:tRNA from 1 species